AAGAAACCAACAGGGAUUACCUUAGUAACGGCGAGUGAAGCGGUAAAAGCUCAAAUUUGAAAUCCGCAAGGAAUUGUAAUUUGAAGGCCGAGUCUAGGAACAUCAAAAGUCCAUUGGAACAUGGCGCCAAAGAGGGUGAUAGCCCCGUUAAGUACCUAGUCAAGACUCGCGCCAAAGAGUCGAGUUGUUUGGGAAUGCAGCUCUAAGUGGGUGGUAAAUUCCAUCUAAAGCUAAAUAUUGGCGAGAGACCGAUAGCGAACAAGUACAGUGAUGGAAAGAUGAAAAGCACUUUGAAAAGAGAGUGAAACAGUACGUGAAAUUGUUGAAAGGGAAGGGCUUGCAAACAGACACGGUUUUUUCGGAAACCGGGCCAGCAUCAGUUGGAGGGGGUAGAAAAGGGCCCGGGAAUGUAGCUUCUCCGGAAGUGUUAUAGCCCGCGGCAGAUGUAUCCACCGCCGACUGAGGCC
rnacentral:rRNA from 2 species